rnacentral:rRNA from 1 species
AAUAUUGCGCAAUGGGGGGAACCCUGACGCAGCAACGCCGCGCGAGUGACGAAGGUCUUCGGAUCGUAAAGCUCUGUCAUCGGGGACGAAUAGAUGACGGUACCCGAGGAGGAAGCCCCGGGUAACUACGUGCCAGCAGCCGCGGUAAUACGUAGGGGGCGAGCGUUGUCCGGAAUGACUGGGCGUAAAGGGUGCGUAGGCGGCCUGAUAAGUCAGAUGUGAAAUACCACGGCUUAACCGUGGGGGUGCAUUGGAAACUGUUGGGCUUGAGUGCAGGAGAGGAAAGCGGAAUUCCUAGUGUAGCGGUGAAAUGCGUAGAGAUUAGGAGGAACACCAGUGGCGAAGGCGGCUUUCUGGACUGUAACUGACGCUGAGGCACGAAAGCGUGGGUAGCGAACA